rnacentral:rRNA from 1 species
ACCCGCUGAACUUAAGCAUAUCAAUAAGCGGAGGAAAAGAAACCAACAGGGAUUGCCUCAGUAACGGCGAGUGAAGCGGCAAAAGCUCAAAUUUGAAAUCUGGCUCUUUCAGAGUCCGAGUUGUAAUUUGUAGAAGAUGCUUCGAGUGUGGUUCCGGUCUAGGUUCCUUGGAACAGGACGUCAUAGAGGGUGAGAAUCCCGUAUGUGACUGGGUACCUACGCUCAUGUGAAGCUCUUUCGACGAGUCGAGUUGUUUGGGAAUGCAGCUCAAAAUGGGUGGUAUAUUUCAUCUAAAGCUAAAUAUUGGCCAGAGACCGAUAGCGCACAAGUAGAGUGAUCGAAAGAUGAAAAGCACUUUGGAAAGAGAGUUAAACAGUACGUGAAAUUGUUGAAAGGGAAGCGCUUGCAAUCAGACUUGCACCUGAUGUUCAGCGGGGUUUCGUGCCCCGUGUACUUCAUCAGGUUCAGGCCAGCAUCGGUUUGGGUGGUUGGAUAAAGGCCUUGAGAAUGUGGCCCUUCGGGGGGUGUUAUAGCUCUCGGUGCAAUGCAGCCUACCUGGACCGAGGACCGCGCUUCGGCUAGGAUGCUGGCGUAAUGGUUGUAAGCGACCCGUCUUGAAACACGG